rnacentral:rRNA from 1 species
AACGAACGCUGGCGGCAUGCCUAACACAUGCAAGUCGAACGAGACCUUCGGGUCUAGUGGCGCACGGGUGCGUAACGCGUGGGAAUCUGCCUAAAGGUUCGGAAUAACUCAGGGAAACUUGAGCUAAUACCGGAUGAUGUCUUCGGACCAAAGAUUUAUCGCCUUUAGAUGAGCCCGCGUAGGAUUAGCUAGUUGGUGGGGUAAAGGCCCACCAAGGCGACGAUCCUUAGCUGGUCUGAGAGGAUGAUCAACCACACUGGGACUGAGACACGGCCCAGACUCCUACGGGAGGCAGCAGUGGGGAAUAUUGGACAAUGGGCGAAAGCCUGAUCCAGCAAUGCCGCGUGAGUGAUGAAGGCCUUAGGGUUGUAAAGCUCUUUUACCCGGGAUGAUAAUGACAGUACCGGGAGAAUAAGCCCCGGCUAACUCCGUGCCAGCCGCCGCAGUAAAAC